GCUAAUACAUGCAAGUCGAGCGAAUCAGAUGGGAGCUUGCUCCCUGAGAUUAGCGGCGGACGGGUGAGUAACACGUGGGCAACCUGCCUAUAAGACUGGGAUAACUUCGGGAAACCGGAGCUAAUACCGGAUACGUUCUUUUCUCGCAUGAGAGAAGAUGGAAAGACGGUUUACGCUGUCACUUAUAGAUGGGCCCGCGGCGCAUUAGCUAGUUGGUGAGGUAAUGGCUCACCAAGGCGACGAUGCGUAGCCGACCUGAGAGGGUGAUCGGCCACACUGGGACUGAGACACGGCCCAGACUCCUACGGGAGGCAGCAGUAGGGAAUCUUCCGCAAUGGACGAAAGUCUGACGGAGCAACGCCGCGUGAACGAAGAAGGCCUUCGGGUCGUAAAGUUCUGUUGUUAGGGAAGAACAAGUACCAGAGUAACUGCUGGUACCUUGACGGUACCUAACCAGAAAGCCACGGCUAACUACGUGCCAGCAGCCGCGGUAAUACGUAGGUGGCAAGCGUUGUCCGGAAUUAUUGGGCGUAAAGCGCGCGCAGGUGGUUCCUUAAGUCUGAUGUGAAAGCCCACGGCUCAACCGUGGAGGGUCAUUGGAAACUGGGGAACUUGAGUGCAGAAGAGGAAAGUGGAAUUCCAAGUGUAGCGGUGAAAUGCGUAGAGAUUUGGAGGAACACCAGUGGCGAAGGCGACUUUCUGGUCUGUAACUGACACUGAG
rnacentral:rRNA from 2 species